rnacentral:lncRNA from 1 species
AGAAAACACUUAAAGACUAAAAAAGAGGAGAAGAAUAGAGUUUGGUAAAAUUAACCAAGAUAUCAGAAAGUUUUGGCAUUAUGUGCAGAUUUCAACAGCCAUUUCCUUCACUUCUGCAAAGACAGAGCUGCCAAGAAAACCUAAAACAUAAUGCAGAAAGAAUCAUAAAUCUUCAUAUUCUAAGUCAACUGAUUGCAUGAACUACUUGAGCAGAACUUGAGUCCUUGAUGAAUAAAGCUGGGGACAUAAUGGAAAUUCAUGGAGUUCCAAAAGCUUGAUUUGCAGAAAACAACCAUGAAAUAGCAUAUGAGCAGAUCUAGGAUUUCCAAGAUGAGGAAUUUUCCUCUACCAAUGCCGAUUGUCACCUUUGCUGCACCCCAUCACCUCAGUGAGUUGCCUAGAACAUGGAGAGAGUAAACGAUUACCCAGGGUUAUACAGCCAAUAUGUGUGAGUGGGACUUCCUACCCUAACCAGAGUCUGAAUAAUGUCUGUAUUUUAUGGAAUAGAGACAAGGCCUUCAGGAGCACUGCCUACCUUGCCCAAAUGACAGUCCGAUGAUCAACUAGUAAUAUAUUAUAAUCAUUUCUAAUGUAAAUCUUUGAACUUCUCAGGACUGAGUAGAAAUUCAAUUCAAAUGGAUGUUGAAAAAUGAAAAGACAUGUGCAAAUGGUUAGGGAAUAUAGCUUCAGAAUAUAGCUUCCACCUGCCAUUCUGAAUCACAGAAUCCUACAGUUAGCCAGACUCUAAUUUCCUUAAGGGCAGGUCAAAUCCCUCUGAGUAGGAGACAGUCAGGUGGCUGAGUGGGUAAACACUGAGCUGGGAGGGAGUACAAGUCCCUCCUCAGAUAUUUACUAGCAUCACUUACUCUCAGUCUCCGUUUCUUUAUAUGUAAAAUAAGCCCAAUAAUGGAAUUAAUAUAUGUACAGCACUUCCCAAAACUUAAAGCGCUAUGUAAAUGCUAGCUAUUACUACUAAUGCCUAUCCCCCAUCUAUGGAGGAUACCCUAAAGUUGGGCCAUGUACCAUGAAGAACUGAUGGUCAUUUACAGGGGCAUAUUGUGUUAAGGUUGUGUCCAGUUAAGAGGAAACAAAUUGGGAAUAAGACAGAGGAAACCAGAGGGAAGAGAAAGGAGACGUAGGAGAUAUGCAGGAAAAGAAGAGAUCCCUAAAAUAAAGAGCUGAAAAUCAGCUAUGAAAACCCA